rnacentral:rRNA from 1 species
CCUACGGGUGGCUGCAGUGAGGAAUAUUGGGCAAUGGGCGAGAGCCUGAACCAGCCAAGUCGCGUGAGUGAAGACGGUUCUAUGGAUUGUAAACCUCUUUUUUCGGGGAGCAAAAAGGCCUCGUUAGGCCACAAGUGAGAGUACCCUAAGAAAAAGCAUCGGCUAAAGCCGUGCCAGCAGCCGCGGUAAUACGGAGGAUGCGAGCGUUAUUCGGAUUUAUUGGGUUUAAAGUGGGCGUAGGCGGACUGGAAAGUCAGCGGUAAAAUCGAGAGGCUCAACCUCUUUCCGCCGUUGAAACUGUCGGUCUUGAGUGGGCGAGAAGUAUGCGGAAUGCGUGGUGUAGCGGUGAAAUGCAUAGAUAUCACGCAGAACUCCGAUUGCGAAGGCAGCAUACCGGCGCCCGACUGACGCUGAGGCACGAAAGCGUGGGUAUCGAACAGGAUUAGAUACCCGGGUAGUC